rnacentral:rRNA from 1 species
AUAGUAUAUAGAUACUCCUGUAUUUAUAUUUAAAGGUGCUUCAAAGCACCACUUAAGAAGAGGUCUAUGUCGCAUUAGCUAGUUGGUGGGAUAAGAGCUCACCAAGGCGACGAUGCGUAGCUGUGCUGAGAGGUAGAACAGCCACAUUGGGACUGAGAUACGGCCCAAACUCCUACGGGAGGCAGCAGUAGGGAAUUUUCGGCAAUGGGGGGAACCCUGACCGAGCAAUGCCGCGUGAUUGAAGACGGUCUUCGGACUGUAAAGAUCUGUUAUUAGGGAAGAAUUUUUACUUUAGGAAAUGGAAGUAAAUUGACGGUGCCUAAUGAGGAAGCCCCGGCUAACUAUGUGCCAGCAGCCGCGGUAAUACAUAGGGGGCAAGCGUUAUCCGGAAUUAUUGGGCGUAAAGGGUACGUAGGCGGGCUUGCAAGUCUGAUUUGAAAGCACAUGGCUUAACCAUGUGAGGUAAUUAGAAACUACGAGUCUAGAGAGUGGUAGAGGUAAAUGGAAUUCCAAGUGGAGCGGUGAAAUGCGUAGAGAUUUGGAGGAACACCAGUGGCGAAGGCGGUUUACUGGGCCACAUCUGACGCUGAUGUACGAAAGCGUGGGGAGCAAACAGGAUUAGAUACCCUGGUAGUCCACGCCGUAAACGAUGAGUGCUAAGUAUCGGGGGAUUUCGGUGCAUAAAUAACGCAGAAAGCACUCCCCCUGGGGAGGACGGUUGCAAGAUGUAACUCAAAGGAAUUAACGGGGACUCGCACAAGCGGUGGAGCAUGAGGUUUAAUUGGAUGCAACGCGAAGAACCUUACCAGGUCUUGACA